GAUCAUGCUCAGGACGAACGCUGGCGGCGUGCCUAAUACAUGCAAGUAGAACGCUGAAGGAGGAGCUUGCUUCUCUGGAUGAGUUGCGAACGGGUGAGUAACGCGUAGGUAACCUGCCUGGUAGCGGGGGAUAACUAUUGGAAACGAUAGCUAAUACCGCAUAAGAGUAGAUAUUGCAUGAUAUUUACUUAAAAGGUGCAAAUGCAUCACUACCAGAUGG
rnacentral:rRNA from 1 species